UACGGGGGGGGUAAGCGUUGUUCGGAAUUACUGGGCGUAAAGGGCUCGUAGGUGGCCAACUAAGUCAGACGUGAAAUCCCCUCAGCUUAACUGGGGAACUGCGUCUGAUACUGGAUGGCUUGAGUUUGGGAGAGGGAUGCGGAAUUCCAGGUGUAGCGGUGAAAUGCGUAGAUAUCUGGAGGAACACCGAUGGCGAAGGCAGCACUCUGGGCCGGUACUGACGUUGAGGAGCGAAAGCGUGGGGAGCGAACAGG
rnacentral:rRNA from 1 species